rnacentral:rRNA from 1 species
CAGCGCCGCGGGAAUACGUAGGGUGCAAGCGUUAAUCGGAAUUACUGGGCGUAAAGCGUGCGCAGGCGGUUAUAUAAGUCAGAUGUGAAAUCCCCGGGCUCAACCUGGGAACUGCAUUUGAGACUGUAUGGCUAGAGUGUGUCAGAGGGGGGUAGAAUUCCACGUGUAGCAGUGAAAUGCGUAGAUAUGUGGAGGAAUACCGAUGGCGAAGGCAGCCCCCUGGGAUAACACUGACGCUCAUGCACGAAAGCGUGGGGAGCAAACAGGAUUAGAUACCCCAGUAGUCCCUGUCUCUUAUACA